CCCAAAUAAACAUUUCUCUCUCUUUCCUCUCACCUUUUCUCUUUCCCCCUCUCUCUCUAACCCUAACCUAAUAACGCCGUCGACGUCGCCAGCAUUCCUGCCAGUCACCGUCGUCGCCGACGCCCCUACCCAGUCCCGUCGUUUCCCUCGCCGUCGACGGCGAACCACUGGAGGUCUUUGCUGAAUAGAUUUUCCAAUUUCCAACAGGUCUGAGGUGGGUUCUUGUUAUUCUCAGUUUGAUUCUAAAAAUAAAGAUGAUUAUAGCUAUACACGUGGCAGUAAGUCUGAUGGUUCAGUUGAUAUAGAAAAUGGUGAUGAUGAAAGUAAUAAGGUGCAUUUAGGGGAAAUUGUUGAAAGAGAUUGUAGAAUUUGUCACUUGAGUUUGGUGGAUAUUGGAGUUGAGUCUGGUGUUGCUAUUGAAUUGGGAUGUUCUUGUAAAGAUGAUUUGGCUGCUGCACAUAAGCAUUGUGCUGAAACUUGGUUGAUUUACUGGCCUUUUUUAUCUUAUGUUGUAUCCAAGGUUUUUUCACAUUUCACUUAAGUAAGUAGGCCAAAACUUGAAUUCUGCUUUUUUACUUUAGUUUUAUGGUUGGUGAAUUUUGAAGUUAUGAUGAUGUCUAUAUUGUGGAUGGACAAGUUUACCUAAAAUAAAGGGUUGUUUGAUUUACUGGCCUUUUAAGUUAAUUGUUCUGCUUAUUAAUGUGAUGAUUGACAUCUUAACAUGAUGGCCUUUUUGGCUUAUGUAGUGUCCAAGAUUCUUUCACAUUUCACCUAAGUAAGUAGACCAAAACUUGAAUUUUGGUUUUUUUACUUUAGUUUUAUGGUUGGUUAAUUUUGAACUUUUAAUGAUGCCUAUGUGAUCAAUGUGGAAGGGUGAAUUUACCACAAACAAAGUGUUGUUUGAUUUACUAGUCUUUUAAGAUAAUUGUUCUGCUUAUUAGAUGUGAUGAUAGACAUCUAUACUUGAUGUCUUUGCUUUGGCUUAUGUUAUGUCCAAUAUUCAUGCACUUUAAUAUUUGCAAUGAUAGAUUUGGUGAUUCUUGUGUUGGAAGUGCGUGCUUUUGAUGUCAGUAGAUGACCUGUAAUGUUGAAAAUGUCUGUGAGUGUUCUGUAAGAAUAAUGCUAUUUAUUCUGUUAGUGUAGUGUAGAGAUUUGGUCUUUGAUGUUUGUUCUUGUUGGAAAAGAGAUCUCAUGAUAUAGUUAAUGGAAAGAGAAAAGAGACAAAAGUUAAAGAAGCUGUCAAUGGAAUAAAAUGAAAAGCAAAAGAUUAAAGCAAUGAGAAGGUAUAAUUCAGAUUUGUAAGUACUGUGUUGAUUCUUCCCAGUUCCUUCUAUGGGCUUUUCUGAGCUUCUGGGUCUUUAGUUUCUAUUUUCUAACUGAAACUUGACAUUGACAUUUCUUUAUCAAAAUGGAGAUUUUCCUUGAGGAAGAGAGUGUAAAUUUUCAUUUUUCGCGUUAAAGGAUUAUACUUUUGUGUCCUCACAUGCUACUUAUUUUACCUACUAUUCUUUGACAGCAGAAAUUCCGAUGCAUGCACACUCAAGAUUUUAGUGUCAUUUUGAUGUUGAAACUACUAUGUCUGAGUUGGUUGAUCUGUUCAAACAAAUUAAUUUGCAACAAAUUUACUUUUCGAUGAUGUGUUGUUAAGUUUUCAUUGUACCACUCUGUGAUCUCAUGACUUAUAAGAAUGCAAAAUAGUUUUCUAGUUGAGCAACCAAAAAUUCUAAAUCAAAUAGAAGAUGCAGAGUCUAAUGCUGUUUGUUUGGUGCUUAUGAAUGGUGAAGUCCAGUAUAUCAGACAAUCAGAAAGAUGUUUUUUCCUGAUUAUCCUUGAACUACCAUUGUCCCAAAGAGAUUCAAUGAAUGUUGGAUAGGUUACCAGAUGUUAAAUUCAAUCCCAUUGUCUCUCAAAGUGCAAAACAUACAAUUAUGGGUAUGCCUCGGAUACUUAGCAUGGAACUUGGAGCAAUGUCAAGUCCUUCUAUACGGCUAAUGGGUUCCUUAGCUGUCUCUUUCACAACUGGGACUUCCACCUCUUCUUCUUCCAAAAGCUAAAUUACAGACCAAAACCAUCAAGGUUAGAUGAUAUUCUUUCCAUUUAUAAAGGGAAUUAUACUAUAUUUCUAUCGCUUUUUUAUCACCUCUUUUACUUCAAUGAAGCGACUUUAACUUGACUAGCAUUGUUUUGGUUGCGGAGCCUCCCAAAUAAUGUUGAAAAGAAGGAAAUGGAUUUUUAGCAAACUAAAAGGAAAAAUGAGUCUGGCACCCGGAACAUGAGACACGGCUAGCUCAAAACUUCAAGAAGAAAGCUCAGCGCUUACUAUGUUUGAAUGUUAAUGUUGUGGUGGAUUUGUGGAUUGUGUAAGUGUUUUGUGGAUGUUUGCGAGCGGUGAAGUAGUCUAAUGUUGUAGACUAACUUAGUCUAAUGUUGUAGACUAAUUUAGUGUAGAUCUACUAGUUUAAUGUUUUGUGGAUGUUUGCAAAGGUUGUGAAGUAGUUUAAUGUUGUGUAGAUGUUUGCGAAUGUUGAAGUAGCUUAAUGUCUCUUCGGAAUGUUUGAAUGACGUUUUGAUUCAACUUUGAAGUAGUUUCGAAUUGAAUUUGA